rnacentral:rRNA from 1 species
AUUGAACGCUGGCGGCAUGCCUUACACAUGCAAGUCGAACGGUAACGGGCCUUCGGGUGCCGACGAGUGGCGGACGGGCGAGUAAUACAUCGGAACGUGCCCGAUCGUGGGGGAUAACGUGGCGAAAGCUUUGCUAAUACCGCAUACGAUCUACGGAUGAAAGCCGGGGACCGCAAGGCCUUGCGCGGACGGAGCGGCCGAUGGCGGAUUAGGUAGUUGGUGGGAUAAAAGCUUACCAAGCCGACGAUCUGUAGCUGGUCUGAGAGGAUGAUCAGCCACACUGGGACUGAGACACGGCCCAGACUCCUACGGGAGGCAGCAGUGGGGAAUUUUGGACAAUGGGCGCAAGCCUGAUCCAGCCAUGCCGCGUGCAGGAUGAAGGCCUUCGGGUUGUAAACUGCUUUUGUACGGAACGAAAAGCCUUCUUUUAAUACAGGAGGGUCAUGACGGUACCGUAAGAAUAAGCACCGGCUAACUACGUG